UCAGAGAACGGCGGCCGCAACGCACGAGCGGUGGUGUGGUGGUGUCGUAUUUAUAAAAACACCGACAUAUUAACUUUAGAAGAAUUGAAUGAAAUAUUGUUAUUUUAUUGUUUUCUUUCUUAGGUUUAAUACGCAAUUGUUCUUUAAUUGCGCUUACUGCGAGCCAACACCUGCUCAAAUAGUGGAGGAUUUGCUGCGAGCACUGCGCAGACAUUGCCAUCGCCAUCAUGGCGCCCGGCGUGUUUGGAGUUCGGAUAGAUCAGACUCUUCGUUGGCCUCGUUUUUAGGUGUUUGAUCCGUGACGUUUCGUCGAAAAAUCACAAGCGCGCAUGCCGUAGGUGUUUGCCUGGUUGCAAGAUCUUGCCGAUUUCAACGUUUUUCCACCUCUUCGGUAAGUACUUGACAUGCCUGGAUUACUGCAAUCAGCACGUUCUUAGCACUUUCUUCUUUGGCUCCCCACCGCGCGCAGGUUGGCGUACGCUGAACUGGACCCUCGCAGCAAGAAUGGCACGUGGGAAUUGACACCGCGAUCGUGGAACGCAUGGCUGAUCUGCCUCGAAUAACUGCAAGCCGGCGCGUGCGUAGUGCCGUGGAGAACGAUCAGAAGUCCUGGACGACAAAGAAAAAAACUUCAAAGCUGCCUCUGCGAACCCCGCUCCUGGACAACAGCUGGGAGGCUCUGUGUUUAAACGCGUGCACCUUGGACGUCAUGCUCCUGCCUCUGCAAGCCCUUUUGCUGGACGCCAUGGAAGGCCCUCCACUCGAAAGUGUGCACCUUAGACUACACGCUCAUCAAUACCAAGUUCUCUGUCCUUCUCGGCAUGAUUGUAGUGCCAUAUAAUAGUGAGGCAAUAAAUCAUUUUUGCUGGUCA